GACGAACGCUGGCGGCGUGCCUAAUACAUGCAAGUAGAACGCUAAAGGAGGAGCUUGCUCUUCUGGAUGAGUUGCGAACGGGUGAGUAACGCGUAGGUAACCUGCCUGGUAGCGGGGGAUAACUACUGGAAACGAUAGCUAAUACCGCAUAACAGCAGAUGCUGCAUGGCAUUUAUUUAAAAGGUGCAAUUGCAUCACUACCAGAUGGAGCUGGGCUGUAUUAGCUAGUUGGUGGGGUAACGGAUCACCAAGGCGACGAUACAUAGCCGACGGGAGAGGGUGAUCGGCCACACUGGAACUGAGACACGGCCCAGACUCCUACGGGAGGCAGCAGUAGGGAAUCGUCGGCAAUGGUCGGAAGUCUGACCCAGCAACGCCGCGUGAGUUAAGAAGGUGUUCGGAUCGUAAAGCUCUGUUGUGAGUGAAGAACCGGUUUGGGAGGGGAAAGAGCACACUGUACGGGAAUCGGACCAGAAGCACCCGGUAAAUUCGGG
rnacentral:rRNA from 1 species